rnacentral:rRNA from 1 species
GUCUACAGCCAUACCACCCUGAGUGUUCCCAAUCUCCUCUGAGCUUAGCAGCUAGGCAAGGGCUGGCCGGUUAGUACUUGGACUGUAGACC